ensembl:lncRNA
GUUGGCUUGUGACCACAUUUUUGACCAACUGAGUAUAAUGACCUUCAGGGGGCUGUGACCUUCAGAAGACUGACAAUUUCUACCUUGAUGUCUUGAAGCCCUGAGCACCAAUAAGGUCUGACCACUACUCACUCUGCUGGAGGAACCACAUGGAGAGACUCUGAGACUAUAGGAAGAGGGAGAGAAGCUCAGCUGAAUCAAGCCUCUGGGCCAUUUCCGCUAAGCAACCUGGCAAGUGAAUAAAGCCACUUGUUUACUCCAAACUAGCUCUUUGUGAGCACCUGAGAUUCAUGAGCAUAAGAAAUUUUUAAGCCACUAUUUCAGGAAAUAUGCUAAUAUAAUAGAUAAUCAGGAUGACAGAUUUUUCAAAAAAAAUGUCUGAUCUUCACCAUAAGAAAUUUAUAGCUCCCUCCCCUAUUGAAGUCUGAUUUUGCCACGAUUUCUGGCAUUCCUGCUGCCGGGAGAAUUACACUUCCUUAUCUCAUGACAUCAGACUUGGCCAUGUGAUUCGUUUUAGCCAAUAAAAUGUGAGCUGAAAUGACAUGCCACCAUGGCAUGGAAGUUUUAAAAGCCAUCAUGUUGUUCUGUCUCCAGUCUUUGCCCUCUACUGAGAGAAUAGGAAUGCCCCAAAUGAGGGGCAUUCAUUUGGCCCUGGCUACUAGAAUGAGGAGACAAGGAGUAAAGGUGCAGUUGACCCACAGCUAGCAUGUAACGCAGUGAGAAAUAUUCCCUUCUUGCCGAAAGCCACCGAGAUUUUAGGGUCUUCUACAGAGACACCACGGUCCUCAUCCUAAAAAAGAAAUUCUGUUACUCACCUACAUAAAAGACACCACAUCCAUCCAGUUUCUUACCAUUUUGUUGCAUCUUAUCUCUUCAGUCUCACACAUGUACGUCACAAUUCAGCAGGGCUUGUCCUGAUUCUUUGCUUUCGGAUGUGUGUGGUCCACUCUGUUUGGCACAUACUUUUCAAUUUCUUCACCUGCAAAGCUGAUACAUAUUCUUUGAGACUCACUUUGGAUGCCAUUUGCUUUGUGAAGCUUUUUGUAUUUUUCCUGGACAAGAUUAGUUCCUGCACUUUCACUGUUUCCAUAGCAAUGAUGAUGAAGAAUGGGAGGAGAUGAGAUCCAUGAUGUCCAGAGAGUGUCAGUGAUUUGCUAACAGUGAGGAGAAAUGGUGGGAUGCAGUCACAGAACCCGCUCUCUUCUUCUUCUUGAGCAAUGAUCCUCAUUUCUCCAGGAAGUGUCUCCUUCAGUGAAAGGCUGUGAAAAGUGGGGAGUGAGAUAGUAUGGGAGCAGCAGGGCUUGCAUAUGGUUUCCAAAUACAGGUCACUGGGGAAGGGGAUGCAUUGCAAAAGGUUUGGAAAUAAUACCAAGGAAGCGAAUUGCUCACUUAAGUGUAGAUUCAGCUUAGCAAGAGUCUAUGAGAAUAAAGAUUUGUAGAUGUAUA